rnacentral:rRNA from 1 species
GACGAACGCUGGCGGCGUGCCUAAUACAUGCAAGUAGAACGCUGAAGGAGGAGCUUGCUUCUCUGGAUGAGUUGCGAACGGGUGAGUAACGCGUAGGUAACCUGCCUGGUAGCGGGGGAUAACUAUUGGAAACGAUAGCUAAUACCGCAUAAUAGUAGAUGUUGCAUGACAUUUGCCUAAAAGGUGCAAUUGCAUCACUACCAGAUGGACCUGCGUUGUAUUAGCUAGUUGGUGGGGUAACGGCUCACCAAGGCGACGAUACAUAGCCGACCUGAGAGGGUGAUCGGCCACACUGGGACUGAGACACGGCCCAGACUCCUACGGGAGGCAGCAGUAGGGAAUCUUCGGCAAUGGACGGAAGUCUGACCGAGCAACGCCGCGUGAGUGAAGAAGGGUGUCGGAUCGUAAAGCUCGGUUGUAAGAGAAGAACGAGUGUGAGAGUGGAAAGUUCACACUGUGACGGUAGCUUACCAGAAAGGGACGGCUAACUACGUG